rnacentral:lncRNA from 1 species
UUGAAAUUCUGUGGCAAAACAUGAGAUGUCCAGGAUUGGAGGUUGAAAAGAUUUCACUACAGUGUUCUGCAAUAGUUGGAGCAGAUAACUUUCAGUGUAGCCACAGCCAUGGACUCCAGAUUUCCAGAUUUUCAAGACCUGGACCUGGAACCCGAAAGAGCUUGUCACGAUGCGGCAGGAACACUGGAGUCCUGUGCCUCCUGAUUGCUGAGUGUUCACCUGGACCUUCUGACUACCUUCCCUGUGCUAUUCCAUCAGCCUACAGACCUGGUACCUGGAUUUUUGCCCGAGAUGAUUCCUACCACCUUACUACUGACGAAGACACCCAUUCCAGUGGACCACUGUGACCCAGGAGGCAUUCAGCCAUCAUGAUGUGGCCUUUACCUCCACUCCUGUCUUGUUCUACCCAGAUUCAGCACAGCCCUUUAUAGUGAAGUCAGAGUCCUCAAGCCAAAUAGCUAAAGCUGUUUUAUCACAACAAAGGCCUAGUUUGUUCCAUGAGUGUGCAUUUCAUUUCUUCAGUUAAAGCCUUCAGAGACACACAAUAAAUUUGGACCAGGGGAUUUUUUAGUUAUUAAUGCUCUCUGAAGAAAGGCAACAUCUUUUUGAGAGCAGCAUUGGACCACACCCCACAAUCUCAAAUGAUUGAAAUUCAUGAACAUCUAGGAUCCCGUGAAGGUCACUGGACCCUGUUUUUUCUACUUCAAAUCCUGUAGUAGCCUACUGAAUGAGAAAACAUAUUCUGACCCAUUGGGAUCAAAUCAAAGGCACAGUGAACUCCUCAUAGCAUCUUCUUUGGAAUUACUCAGGAACCAGAACUUUUUACACAAAUGUAAGAAAUUCUACCAAGGAGUCCCCUUACCUAACAGCAUCUCACAAGGCUGCACCAGAUUCCAGAAAAGGCUUCUCUUGAUACAUCAAGCAUUUUGUGACCGACUUAUUCUUAGAUCAUUGGUUUUCCAAAGGCUUUGUGGCCAUGAAGCCCUUUGAGUGAAAACUGUGCAGAAGCCCAGAGUAAAAGUGAAGCUGCUCUGGAUGAAGUAGUGAAGCAAGAGUAGGGGCCUGAAUCCUGCUACAACUAUCUUCCUUUACCACCGUGGUGACACCUAAGGGGACUUCCUUACAACACCUUGAACUCUUCCGAACACAGUUUGAAAACCACUGCCCCAGACAGCAAUAUGUUUGACCUGAAUGGCAUUCCAAUCUUUUCUGUACCUCCACUCAGCACAGUUCAUGUUCAGUAGAUGCUGAACAUUCUUAGAAAUACUGUGUGUGAACUUAGAAAAGUGCAAGAAGACAGGCAUGUCUUUGACCCCAGGAAUGAUCAUUUGCUGAAGAUGGUGUCAAGUGAACCUAGAUUAACAGCCCUCCACUCCAGAUGGAUAUCCAGUGAUUCCUAGAAUGGGAUAUAGCCAGAGAACAAUUCUAUGCACCCUACACUGACAGACUCCCUUAAGCAACACCAGAUGCUCUACUGGUACUUGAAGUACAUGACUUUGAAGUCUUGACCCUCCAUGAAUACCUGAAUUAUCAGCAAGCGGGUUUUGAAGCUGGUGCCUCAUUGAGGCCAUAUUAGAGCAACUUGUACAUUUGACCUCUUGUUAUCAGCCAUGGUACUCUACUUCGUGUGCAAGAGAUAACUAUGAAAGCCAAAUUCAAAUACUGGCAACAUUUCCUAAAGGGGCUCAAUAUCUAUCAUUCGUCUUCUUUUCCAAACUACACAUCACUGUAUGACUCAACCAGUAGCAGUUAUAUUGC